AGGAUGAACGCUGGCGGCGUGCCUAAUACAUGCAAGUCGAGCGGUAAGGCCCCUUCGGGGGUACACGAGCGGCGGACGGCUGAGUAACACGUAGGAACGUACCCCAAACUGAGGGAUAAGCACCAGAAAUGGUGUCUAAUACCGCAUGUGAUCUUCGGAUUAAAGCUUCGGCGGUUUGGGAACGGCCUGCGCAUGAUUAGCUUGUUGGUGAGGUAAUGGCUCACCAAGGCGACGAUCAUUAGCUGGUCUGAGAGGAUGACCAGCCAGACUGGAACUGAGAACGGUCCAGACUCCUACGGGAGGCAGCAGUAGGGAAUUUUCCACAAUGGACGAAAGUCUGAUGGAGCAACGCCGCGUGCAGGAUGAAGGCCCUUGGGUCGUAAACUGCUUUUAUAUGUGACGAUUAUGACGGUAGCAUAUGAAUAAGGAUCGGCUAACUCCGUGCCAGCAGCCGC
rnacentral:rRNA from 1 species